rnacentral:rRNA from 1 species
UACGAGGGGGGCAAGCGUUGUCCGGAAUUAUUGGGCGUAAAGGGCUCGUAGGCGGUUUGUCGCGUCGGGAGUGAAAUCCACUGGCUUAACUGGUGGCUUGCUUUCGAUACGGGCAGACUGGAGGUAUGCAGGGGAGAACGGAAUUCCUGGUGUAGCGGUGAAAUGCGCAGAUAUCAGGAGGAACACCGGUGGCGAAGGCGGUUCUCUGGGCAUGUCCUGACGCUGAGGAGCGAAAGUGUGGGGAGCGAACAGG